rnacentral:misc_RNA from 1 species
AACGCACAUUGCGCCCGCCAGUAUUCUGGCGGGCAUGCCUGUUCGAGCGUCAUUUCAACCAUCAAGCCCCAGGCUUGUGUUGGGGGCCUGCAGCUGCUGCAGCCCCCUAAAAGCAGUGGCGGACUCGCUGUCAUUCCGAGCGCAGUAGUUACAUCUCGCUCUGGGCGUGGCGGCGGGCACCUGCCGUGAAACAUUCUUUCUAAGGUUGACCUCGGAUCAGGUAGGAAUACCCGCUGAACUUAA